rnacentral:rRNA from 1 species
GUAGGGGGCAAGCGUUGUCCGGAAUUAUUGGGCGUAAAGCGCGCGCAGGCGGUCUCUUAAGUCCGAUGUGAAAGCCCACGGCUCAACCGUGGAGGGUCAUUGGAAACUGGGGGACUUGAGUGUAGGAGAGGAAAGUGGAAUUCCACGUGUAGCGGUGAAAUGCGUAGAUAUGUGGAGGAACACCAGUGGCGAAGGCGACUUUCUGGCCUACAACUGACGCUGAGGUGCGAAAGCGUGGGGAGCAAACAGGGAUUAGAUACCCUGGUAGUCCACGCCGUAAACGAUGAGUGCUAGGUGUUAGGGGUUUCGAUGCCCCUUAGUGCCCGAAGUUAACACAUUAAGCACUCCGCCUGGGGGAGUACGACCGCAAGGUUG